AGUUUGAUCCUGGCUCAGGAUGAACGCUGGCGGUAUGCCUAACACAUGCAAGUCGUACGAGAGUUUUUAACUCUAGUGGCGGACGGGUGAGUAACACGUGAGAAUUUGCCUUUAGGAGGGGGACAACAAUUGGAAACGAAUGCUAAUACCCCAUAUGCUUUCGAGUGAAAUGGAUUUUAUCCGCCUAGAGAGAAGCUCGCGGCUGAUUAGCUUGUUGGUAAGGUAAGAGCUUACCAAGGCGACGAUCAGUAUCUGGUUUGAGAGGACGAUCAGACACACUGGAACUGAGACACGGUCCAGACUCCUACGGGAGGCAGCAGUGGGGGAAUUUUCCGCAAUGGGCGAAAGCCUGACGGAGCAAUACCGCGUGAGGGAAGAAUGCCUAUGGGUUGUAAACCUCUUUUUUCAGGGAGGAAUAAAAUGACGUGUACCUGAAGAAUAAGCAUCGGCUAACUCCGUG
rnacentral:rRNA from 1 species